GGAAGACAUGAGAUAUUGCUGACUGUUGGAUGGACCACGGUUCUUGUUCCGCCCAUAUCGAGGAUGCAUUGAUGCAUUAUAAUUGUGCUUUAUAAUUUGUACUCGGGUAAGCUAGGUUUCCAUAAUGCACUCACCAGCAUCGGUCAAUGGAGAAGACCGGCCGAAAACUUUCACCCUUCCAGAUACUCCUCCUGACUCGAAUGCACCUGAGGCCGAAUCUUCCCAUCCAGCAUAUGGCACACCUGUUCUGCAUCGACCAAUCAACUGUGUCCACCACGUUCACAAAUACCAUAGAUGUCAUGUUUACACACCUUGCUGUGGGAUAACAUGCCACUGAGCAUGGUGAGCCAUGUGAAGGCCAGUUGUAAAGUUAUUGUGCUGUUUCCUCUGUCCCACUGGCUGCUGCAAACACAGAACACCACAAUGCUUUAAUGAGAACUGCCUUGUACCUUUUGGCCUCUGGCUUCCAGAAGAUUCUCAACAAUUUUCCUUGACCUCACAGCUGACAGAGGGAGGUUGCCUGUUCUUUCCAUCAAAGCAACUGGACAUACUAACAGGACAUUCUCACAUGUGGGCAUGGAAACAGUUGUGCUCACCAUCACCAGCCUCCCAUGGAACAGUAAAUACAUAUGUAAGCGUACCUCCCAAGUUCUUCCCUGGAUCUUCUCUCUGAGAUGCUUCUGUGAUACACGACUCAAACCUACUCGCGCCAUAGCCUUGUGGAUUCAAAUCACAAUGGCUGGCAACCUCAAGGCUUCUCUUUGCUCAUAACCUCCAGCAUACCUGUCCGCCCUCCAAAGCUUGGAAAUGAGGAACGGUGGGGCAAUUGGCAGAACUGUUGCCUUGGGCAAGAAGGUCCUGGGUUCGACUCCUGGCUGGGGAUCUUUCUGUAUGGAGUUUGCAUGUUCUCCCCAUGUAUGAAUGGGUGUGUGCAGGUUGUACCCUGCCUCUCGCUGAUGGACUGGUGACCUGUCCAGGGUGUACCCUGCCUAUCGCCUGUAGAUCAUUGAUUAGCACCAAUUCCCCUGUGACCCUGUCUGGAAGAAGUGGGUAUAGAAAAUGGAUGGAUGGAUGGAUGGAAUUGAGAAAUGUAUUGACCAAGAAGCCACCCCUGCCCUUUGUCAGCUUAUGGAAACCAGUUUCCCAGUUCACACUCUGUUAUUGGAUUCCAGUGUUCUGCCUCAACGCGCUCAGUUCAUCGAACAACUUACCUUAAAACUCCCUCUGUAAAUCUCCUCACCACUUCUCUGGAUGCUCCUCUGGCUGCUUCCCUGGUUCAUUGUGUCAGGACCCUUCCACAACCAUCCACUCACCUGCCUGUCCACCCCCUGAUGAUGCACUGCCUCUCAUGAGCAACAAGGAAAUCAUUACAAGCACCACUCACCACCACCUGGCAAUCUCAACCUCUGUACUAACUUUCCUCCCUUGGAAUUCCACCAUCUCUCCAUCAGUAAGCUAACCAUCUCACCCAUCAUUUCCAUCAUAUAUUAACCAUAUUCCACUUUUUAUAAUAAUAACUUACCUCUCCUCCUCAAUGCCAUCCUGGAUUUCUCCUUUGAACC